ACUUGACAACACGCUCCCCCUCGAGGUUUGAGUGAACUUGGGCACUGCGAACACAUCUUCUUUAUUUCUGCAUCCCCAAUCCCUGGCAUACCUCCUGGCAUAUACUAGGUGUUUAACAAACCUUGUUAAGGCAAGUAAGUGUCCAGCAGAUCAACUGCCGCCCAAAGGAGAGAAAAAAGGUAAUAAGAGGAAGGCAAUUUGUCACCAGUUUCUGCUACAGCACAAAUCUACCUUUAAAGUAAAUCUUAACCUUAAGAAUUAGCAGCAGCCUCUGUCACCAUCCAAAGAUUACAACCCAUGAAACCAUUGAAUUUGUGCCUUGUAUCAGAAAGCAAAGGAGAAUGAAAAAGCACAGCUAACAUUGCUUGAGGAUCUAGGCGAUUAAUUCUUUAGACUGUCAUCAUGGGUAUCCGAGGACUAAUGAGUUUUGUGGAAGAUCAUAGUAAUGAGUUCUUCACUGAUUUGAAGUUGCGGGACACAAAAAUUGUCAUUGAUGGUUAUGCUCUUUUCCACCGUCUUUGCUUCAGUUCAAACUUGGAUCUCCGGUAUGG
rnacentral:lncRNA from 10 species